UACAGAGGUCUCGAGCGUCGUUCGGAUUCAUUGGGCGUAAAGGGUGCGUAGGUGGCGGGGUAAGUCAGGUGUGAAAUCCCGGGGCUCAACCCCGGAACUGCAUUUGAUACUGCCUUGCUCGAGUACUGGAGAGGAGACUGGAAUUUACGGUGUAGCAGUGAAAUGCGUAGAUAUCGUAAGGAAGACCAGUGGCGAAGGCGAGUCUCUGGACAGUUACUGACACUGAGGCACGAAGGCCAGGGGAGCAAACGGG
rnacentral:rRNA from 1 species